rnacentral:lncRNA from 1 species
GGUUUGAAGAUAGUGUUCUUUAGAUGGGUGAUAAUACAGAAGAAGGAAAAGAUCUAAGGUAAUGAAGCUUUUUUCUUAGCAAAGAAUUUAGACCUCCAUGUUUGACAUACUUGCUUUUCAUAUUUUUAUAUUUUCAUUUAUGGUUUUAGAGAUUUGAUUGAGAACUUUUUUUUUAUUAUUGUGAAAGGAAUAUUUUCUCUUUUAUUCCAUUCAUUUCACAAUUUUUCCCUCUAUUGUAGAGAGAGCAGAUAGUGUCAACGAAUGAAAGGAAGAUAAACCUGGUUCUUUUAUUUUUGGAAGGAAAAUUGACGGGAAGGAGGAAAAAAGAUUAAACUUUUCAAGGUUUGAGUUUUUCUUUAGUUUAUUUUUCAAUCAUUUUUCUAAUUCUAUGCUAAACUAGACCUCCAAGUUUCAAUUUUCUCUUUGUUUUUUUCCUUUUUAUUGAAGGGUAAAGGUUUUAAUGUCUUGUUUAGUUAUUGGUUUUGCUGCUGCUCGGAGUCUUACUUUGGCAUUGCUUUCCUUUGAGUAUUUGUAAGUGUUUGUGAUCUCUGAGUUUUGUUAUUGUGGAUAGUUUUUUUUUGCCGGUCGAAAGUUUCCACGUUUUGUUUCAUUUUGCAUCAUCCAAAACUUUCUAAUGCUAAUUUCAUUCAUAGUUGGUUUGCCCUUUAUAUUUUCCUCUUACAUGGUUCUCCAAUGCGAUGCUUUUUUUGAAUUAAUUAUCUAUUUUUAAACUUGGGUGCACGGAAAAAGAUAAGUCAACCAAACAAAAGUUACAUAUAGGCUAAUGUUAACUGAAGCAUCUGGUUAUAUAUAUAUAUAUAUAUAUAUAUAUUUUUAUGUAUUAUUACUUCUUCAUCUUUCACUAUUGAAUUUCAAUACAUGGUUUAUUUGUCUUUUCCAUUGUGUUUUAUAGUGAAAAGUGUAUGAAAGUCUGCUGUUUGUGUUGUCUUUGUCUAUCCAGUUGGAAACAUUCACAGAUACGUCAAGUGAUCCAAGAGUACUCGAAAACUACUAAUCGCAUGCCCAUGAUAGUUUUGGUCAAUUUCCCUGUUCUCAUGAAAAAUAAAUUCUUUGAAAUUUCUCAAAAUCCCUUGAAUUGCAUUUUUUCAAAAUGGAUUGUCUCUUAUUAAAGCUGUGGUAUAUGUAUUAUGAAGGUUUUCAUGGAAUUGUGAUAAAGUUUGAGAUAGUGAUAGAAGAUAUGUCUCGGGCUGCAAAGUGUUUGGAGAUUUUUCUUUGAGGACAUUGAUGAUAGUAGAUGUAUUUAGUAUUGAGUGGUGUUGUAUAGCUUUUGAUAGAUUGUUAUUUACCUUAGUUAUGGCCUUAGAGUAGUCCCUCAGUUGUGGCCUUAGAAUCCAGUGAUUUUGUGUAGUGCAUUUGAGUUGUUUGAGAAAAUGUCUAAGUACAAAUUUCAUCCAAUUUAUGGUGAUCUUACAAUAGAACAUAAGGCUAUCUAUAACUGAGUAUUACCAUGCAAAAUAUAGUGAUGUUGCCCUAUAAUUGGGACUGAAAUUUGAAGAAUUGCAGAUAAAUUGUAUUCUCUAUGACUCUCUGAUUGACAGUACCAAGAAAUUUUUAUUAUGACUUUUUGCAGAUCUGCAUUAGCUGCAUCAACAGUAUCCAUGUGGACCGUUGCUUAAAAUGAGGAGAAUUUUGGGUUUUUCAGCGGCUGCUGGAGUAAAACAUUAGAUAUAUGACAUUGAAAGUAGACUGGUAUGAUUAUUUUCUUUGGUUAUAUGAAUAAUAAGAGAGCCAUGAGGAUUUGCG